rnacentral:tRNA from 1 species
AGGGGUGUAGCUCAAUUGGUAGAGCAUCUGACUUCAGAUCAGAGGGUCGCGGGUUCAAGUCCUGUCACCCCUGCCA